GGUGACAUAGGCCUAGUGGUAGAGCAUAUGCUUUGCAUUCAAAAGUUCUCAGGUUCAAUCCCUGGCAUUGCCA